UACGGAAGGCAGCAGUGGGGAAUAUUGCACAAUGGGCGAAAGCCUGAUGCAGCUAUGCCGCGUGUAUGAAGAAGGCCUUAGGGUUGUAAAGUACUUUCAUCGGGGAGGAAAAAACAAAACUAAUAAUUUUAUUUCUUGACGUUACCCGAAAAAGAAGCACCGGCUAACUCCGUGCCAGCAGCCGCGGUAAUACGGAGGGUGCUAGCGUUAAUCAGAAUUACUGGGCGUAAAGAGCACGUAGGUGGUUUUUUUAAGUCAGAUGUGAAAUCCCUGGGCUUAACCUAGGAACUGCAUUUUGAAACUGAAAUACUAGAGUAUCGUAGAGGGAGGUAGAAUUCUAGGUGUAGCGGUGAAAUGCGUGGAUAUCUGGAGGAAUACCUGUGGCGAAAGCGGCCUCCUAAACGAAUACUGACACUGAGGUGCGAAAGCGUGGGGAGCAAACAGGGAUUAGAUACC
rnacentral:rRNA from 1 species